AGAGUUUGAUCCUGGCUCAGAAUCAACGCUGGCGGCGUGCCUCAGACAUGCAAGUCGUACGCGAAAGGCCCUCCGGGGGCCGAGUAGAGUGGCGCACGGGUGAGUAACACGUGGGUAAUCUGCCUUUGGGUGGGGAAUAACAGUCGGAAACGGCUGCUAAUACCGCAUAACGCAGCGGCACCUUCGGGUGACAGUUGUUAAAGCGGGGGACGGGCUUCGGCCCACCUCGCGCCUAAAGAGGAGCCCGCGGCGGAUUAGCUAGUUGGUGGGGUAACGGCCCACCAAGGCUCCGAUCCGUAGCCGGCCUGAGAGGGCGGUCGGCCACACUGACACUGACACACGGGUCAGACUCCUACGGGAGGCAGCAGUCGGGAAUUUUGGGCAAUGGGCGCAAGCCUGACCCAGCAACGCCGCGUGAAGGACGAAGCAUCUCGGUGUGUAAACUUCAUAAGAGUGGGAAGAAUAAGUGGGGGAUAACGCCCCCCAUGAUGACGGUACCACUUGUAAGCCCCGGCUAACUCCGUGCCAGCAGCCGCGGUAAUACGGGGGGGCAAGCGUUGUUCGGAUUUACUGGGCGUAAAGGGCGCGUAGGCGGCCCGCCAAGUCACUUGUGAAAUCUCCGGGCUUAACCCGGAGCGGCCAAGUGAUACUGGCGGGCUGGAGUGCGGAAGGGGCCACCGGAAUUCUCGGUGUAGCGGUGAAAUGCGUAGAUAUCGAGAGGAACACCUGCGGCGAAGGCGGGUGGCUGGGCCGACACUGACGCUGAGGCGCGAAAGCCAGGGGAGCGAACGGGAUUAGAUACCCUAGUAGUCC
rnacentral:rRNA from 1 species